UACAGAGGUGGCAAGCGUUGUUCGGAAUUACUGGGCGUAAAGGGCGCGUAGGCGGCCUUCUAAGUCAGACGUGAAAUCCCCCGGCUUAACCUGGGAACUGCGUCUGAUACUGGGAGGCUUGAGUAUGGGAGAGGGAUGUAGAAUUCCAGGUGUAGCGGUGAAAUGCGUAGAUAUCUGGAGGAAUACCGGUGGCGAAGGCGGCAUCCUGGACCAUAACUGACGCUGAGGCGCGAAAGCAUGGGGAGCGAACAGG
rnacentral:rRNA from 1 species